UCCGGAUUUAUUGGGCGUAAAGAGCGCGUAGGCGGCCCGGAAAGUCGGAUGUGAAAACCCGGGGCUCAACCCCGGGCCUGCAUCCGAUACUCCCGGGCUGGAGGCAGGUAGGGGAGAUCGGAAUUCCUGGUGUAGCGGUGAAAUGCGCAGAUAUCAGGAGGAACACCGGUGGCGAAGGCGGAUCUCUGGGCCUGUCCUGACGCUGAGGCGCGAAAGCUAGGGGAGCGAACAGG
rnacentral:rRNA from 1 species